UGGGCGUAAAGCGUGCGUAGGUGGUUGUUAAGUCAGAUGUGAAAGCCCCGGGCUCAACCUGGGAACUGCAUUUGAAACUGGCAAACUUGAGUAUAGGAGAGGAAAGUGGAAUUUCCGGUGUAGCGGUGAAAUGCGUAGAUAUCAGAAGGAACAUCAAUGGCGAAGGCAGCUUUCUGGACUAAUACUGACACUGAGGUACGAAAGCGUGGGUAGCAAACAGGAUUAGAUACCCUGGUAGUCCACGCCGUAAACGACGACAACUAGCCGUUGGGGGGAUUUACCCUUUAGUGGCGAAGCUAACGCGUUAAGUUGUCCGCCUGGGGAGUACGGCCGCAAGGUUAAAACUCAAAGGAAUUGACGGGGACCCGCACAAGCGGUGGAGCAUGUGGUUUAAUUCGAUGCAACGCGAAGAACCUUACCUGGUCUUGACAUACACGGAACUUUCCAGAGAUGGAUCGGUGCCUUCGGGAACCGUGAUACAGGUGCUGCAUGGCUGUCGUCAGCUCGUGUCGUGAGAUGUUGGGUUAAGUCCCGUAACGAGCGCAACCCCUAUCCUUAUUUGCCAGCACAUCAUGGUGGGAACUAUAAGGAGACUGCCGGUGAUAAGCCGGAGGAAGGCGGGGACGACGUCAAGUCAUCACGGCCCUUACGACCAGGGCUACACACGUGCUACAAUGGGAAGAACAAAGAGUUGCGAAGCCGCGAGGUGUAGCUAAUCUCACAAAUCUUUUCGUAGUCCGGAUCGGAGUCUGCAACUCGACUCCGUGAAGUCGGAAUCGCUAGUAAUCGUAGAUCAGAACGCUACGGUGAAUACGUUCCCGGGUCUUGUACACACCGCCCGUCAUACCAUGGGAGUGGGUUGCACCAGAAGUAGCUAGUCUAACUGUUUACAGGGGAC
rnacentral:rRNA from 1 species